GCCCCUGUGGUGGAAUUGGUAGACGCGCUCGACUCAAAAUCGAGUUCCUAACGGAGUGCCGGUUCGAGUCCGGCCAGGGGCACCA
rnacentral:tRNA from 3 species